CAUGGUUAAGUGGGAAACGAUGUGGGAAGGCCCAGACAGCCAGGAUGUUGGCUUAGAAGCAGCCAUCAUUUAAAGAAAGCGUAAUAGCUCACUGGUCGAGUCGGCCUGCGCGGAAGAUGUAACGGGGCUAAACCAUGCACCGAAGCUGCGGCAGCGACGCUUAUGCGUUGUUGGGUAGGGGAGCGUUCUGUAAGCCUGUGAAGGUGUGCUGUGAGGUAUGCUGGAGGUAUCAGAAGUGCGAAUGCUGACAUAAGUAACGAUAAAGCGGGUGAAAAGCCCGCUCGCCGGAAGACCAAGGGUUCCUGUCCAACGUUAAUCGGGGCAGGGUGAGUCGACCCCUAAGGCGAGGCCGAAAGGCGUAGUCGAUGGGAAACAGGUUAAUAUUCCUGUACUUGGUGUUACUGCGAAGGGGGGACGGAGAAGGCUAUGUUGGCCGGGCGACGGUUGUCCCGGUUUAAGCGUGUAGGCUGGUUUUCCAGGCAAAUCCGGAAAAUCAAGGCCGAGGCGUGAUGACGAGGCACUACGGUGCUGAAGCAACAAAUGCCCUGCUUCCAGGAAAAGCCUCUAAGCAUCAGGUAACAUCAAAUCGUACCCCAAACCGACACAGGUGGUCAGGUAGAGAAUACCAAGGCGCUUGAGAGAACUCGGGUGAAGGAACUAGGCAAAAUGGUGCCGUAACUUCGGGAGAAGGCACGCUGAUACGUAGGUGAAGCGACUUGCUCGUGGAGCUGAAAUCAGUCGAAGAUACCAGCUGGCUGCAACUGUUUAUUAAAAACACAGCACUGUGCAAACACGAAAGUGGACGUAUACGGUGUGACGCCUGCCCGGUGCCGGAAGGUUAAUUGAUGGGGUUAGCGCAAGCGAAGCUCUUGAUCGAAGCCCCGGUAAACGGCGGCCGUAACUAUAACGGUCCUAAGGUAGCGAAAUUCCUUGUCGGGUAAGUUCCGACCUGCACGAAUGGCGUAAUGAUGGCCAGGCUGUCUCCACCCGAGACUCAGUGAAAUUGAACUCGCUGUGAAGAUGCAGUGUACCCGCGGCAAGACGGAAAGACCCCGUGAACCUUUACUAUAGCUUGACACUGAACAUUGAGCCUUGAUGUGUAGGAUAGGUGGGAGGCUUUGAAGUGUGGACGCCAGUCUGCAUGGAGCCGACCUUGAAAUACCACCCUUUAAUGUUUGAUGUUCUAACGUGGACCCGUGAUCCGGGUUGCGGACAGUGUCUGGUGGGUAGUUUGACUGGGGCGGUCUCCUCCUAAAGAGUAACGGAGGAGCACGAAGGUUGGCUAAUCCUGGUCGGACAUCAGGAGGUUAGUGCAAUGGCAUAAGCCAGCUUGACUGCGAGCGUGACGGCGCGAGCAGGUGCGAAAGCAGGUCAUAGUGAUCCGGUGGUUCUGAAUGGAAGGGCCAUCGCUCAACGGAUAAAAGGUACUCCGGGGAUAACAGGCUGAUACCGCCCAAGAGUUCAUAUCGACGGCGGUGUUUGGCACCUCGAUGUCGGCUCAUCACAUCCUGGGGCUGAAGUAGGUCCCAAGGGUAUGGCUGUUCGCCAUUUAAAGUGGUACGCGAGCUGGGUUUAGAACGUCGUGAGACAGUUCGGUCCCUAUCUGCCGUGGGCGCUGGAGAACUGAGGGGGGCUGCUCCUAGUACGAGAGGACCGGAGUGGACGCAUCACUGGUGUUCGGGUUGUCAUGCCAAUGGCACUGCCCGGUAGCUAAAUGCGGAAGAGAUAAGUGCUGAAAGCAUCUAAGCACGAAACUUGC
rnacentral:rRNA from 3 species